GGGCGGUUAGCUCAGCGCAGAGCGCCGGCAUUACCCGCCGGAGGCCGGGGGUUCAAAUCCUUCACCGCCCACCA
rnacentral:tRNA from 1 species